rnacentral:misc_RNA from 1 species
AACGCACAUUGCGCCUCUUGGUACUCCGAGAGGCACACCUGUUCGAGCGCCGUUGUACACACUGAGGCUCCGCCUUGCGAUGGCACGCCCGUUGGAUGGGCUGCUGAAAUAAGAAUGGCGCCAAUGCGAUGAGCCAAGUAGCACAUUACAAGGCGAAACGUGCUGAGUAGCCAGUUUGAUCGACUUGGCCUCGAAUCAGGUGGGGAUACCCGCUGAACUUAA